GACCGCUUAGCUCAGCUGGUUAGAGCGCUUCGUUCACAUCGAAGAGGUCGGGGGUUCGAGUCCCUCAGCGGUCACAA
rnacentral:tRNA from 1 species